rnacentral:rRNA from 1 species
CCUACGGGUGGCAGCAGUAGGGAAUAUUGCUCAAUGGGGGAAACCCUGAUGCAGCAAUGCCGCGUGGAGGAUGAAGGCCUUCGGAUUGUAAACUUCUUUUGUUAGAGAAGAAAAUGACGGUAUCUAACGAAUAAGCACCGGCUAACUCCGUGCCAGCAGCCGCGGUAAUACGGAGGGGGCAAGCGUUAUCCGGAAUGACUGGGGGUAAAGGGCGCGUAGGCGGGGUAGCAAGUCAGAUGUGAAAUCCUAUGGCUUAACCAUAGAACUGCGUUUGAAACUGUUAUUCUAGAGUGUAGGAGAGGUAGGGGGAAUUCUUGGUGUAGGGGUGAAAUGCGUAGAGAUCAGGAGGAAUA